UUGUUUAAUUUAACUUGUUCUCAGACUUCAAUUUUCUAGGCAGGGUUGGCUAAUUCCGGCAGGCGGGGCCCCCCGCGAACGAGAGGUGCUCCCCGCCAGGCGCCGAAUCCGGGCCGCAGUUACAAAGGGUGGGGAUUGUGCCCGAAGGCGGUAACCCAUUAAUGAUCCUUCCGCAGGUUCACCUACGGAAA
rnacentral:misc_RNA from 1 species